rnacentral:rRNA from 1 species
CCUACGGGCGGCAGCAGUGGGGAAUAUUGGACAAUGGGGGGAACCCUGAUCCAGCGACGCCGCGUGAGUGAAGAAGUAUUUCGGUAUGUAAAGCUCUAUCAGCAGGGAAGAAAAUGACGGUACCUGACUAAGAAGCCCCGGCUAACUACGUGCCAGCAGCCGCGGUAAUACGUAGGGGGCAAGCGUUAUCCGGAUUUACUGGGUGUAAAGGGAGCGUAGACGGUGCAGCAAGUCUGAUGUGAAAGGUCGGGGCCCAACCCCGGGACUGCUCUUGGAACUGCAUGGCUGGAGUACAGGAGGGGCAGGCGGAAUUCCUAGUGUAGCGGUGAAAUGCGUAGAUAUUAGGAGGAACACCGGUGGCGAAGGCGGCCUGCUGGACUGUGACUGACGUUGAGGCCCGAAGGCGUGGGGAGCAAACAGGAUUAGAUACCCGAGUAGUC